AUGAACGCUGGCGACGUGGAUUAGGCAUGCAAGUCAAGGGGGCCGCAAGGCAACCGGCAGACGAGGUAGUAUAACGCAGGUACGCACCGAGAAGUCGGGCAUAGCUAGCCGAAAGGUUAGGUAAUUCCCGAUGGUGAGGUAACUCUAAAGGAGUAAUCCGCUUCUUGAGCGGCCUGCGCAGCAUCAGUUAGUUGGUAGGGUAACGGCCUACCAAGACUAUGACGCUUAGAAGAGCUGAGAGGCUGACCUUCACCGAUAGCACUGAGACACGGGCUAUACAUCUACGGAUGGCUGCAGUCGAGAAUCUUCCACAAUGGACGAAAGUCUGAUGGAGCGACGUCGCGUGACUGAUGAAGUCCUUCGGGACGUAAAGGUCUUUUAUGGGGGAGGAAGUAAUUGACGUUACCCCAUGAAUAAGGGGCUCCUAACUCUGU
rnacentral:rRNA from 1 species